rnacentral:lncRNA from 1 species
CUGUUUUAUUGUCUGUGGCAUGCAUGAAAGUGGACAAUUCUUUAUAUAUAGGUGGUAUAAUAUUAAUACAGGUUCACUUUAUAUGAAAUGUACUACAGAGGGAUCUAAAAUUUGUGGUCUUUUAACAUAGGUGUUUGCUGAAUACAUGUGGUCUCUUUAAGUCAUAAGAAACGAGUGACUGUGAAAAAUAAUGUUCUUCCAAUUCUUGAACCAAUGCAUACAAACAUCAUAAACUUAGUCUUCUGUGUACGAAUUUAUCAUUUUUUUCGUGUAAAUUUCGUAUAAUCGUCAAUUUUUUUUUUCAAUCGGUCAGUGUUGUGAAAAUAUGGCAGGUAAUUAAAGUUCGUGUUUUGAAGCCGAAGUUUAACGAUUGUCACCUGUUUGUCAACAAUGGACAAAAAAAUCAACAAAAAAGCAGGGAAAUUGAGCACGUCUUUAACAUGUAAAUUCAGAUAAUAGUUUAUUUUAAGGACAUCCAUUCGUAUUGUGAUCACCGGAUUGUUAC